CUCUUCGUUGAUUCGCUGAAUUUAGGUGGAUGGGUUUCAUUGUCAGAAAUGAACAAGGUGGAGCUGGAGCUGGAUCCAUCAUUUUUCUUUCUUUCGAGAAUGACGAUCCAUCAAAUUUCAAACCUGAAGCUGCCAGACAGAGUUGGCUCCAGGAGAUGUCGAGUCGGUCUGUCAGUGGCCUACGUUGGAGUUAAAUGUAUAUAACCCCCUGAACUCCCAGAUUUGGAGUACAUCACCCCCUGGACUCAAUUUUGGCUCACUUAAUCCCCUAAAUCUGCACAAACCGGGCAAAGCACCCCCUGACGACUCUCCUGGUGGUUUGGGACGGCUGUUUUGCGGACGUGGAAAGGGGCCGGUGCCAUGUAGGCUUGGACCUGGUGGACUCGGUGUAGUUGCGACCAGACCAUCUCGAUUCCAUCGAGUGCCCACCUUUUUUCCUUCCUCUCUCCCUCUCCCUCUCUACAGGCGACGCCGCCGGCGAUUUGAGCGACCACGACGGCGAUGGUGAGGAGCACCGGCAUGCCCUGAAGGAUCUCACCGACGGCGGCCAUCAGGUGUAAGGCAUGGAUCCAUUGGAUUAUCUCUCUGUCAGAUUUCCUUCAGGUGUAAGGCAUGCAAAAUCAGUGCAGAUGAUGGCAAGUCAUGUCACUGAUGCUGGUGUACUGGAUAUCUAUGCUACUGUGCCUAGAGAUGUUAGUUCAGAAGCAAGUGGUUGGAAGGAACAACUAUCAGCAAAACAAGCAAGUUUAGAGACUGAAACACUGCACAUUCAGGCAAGACAAACAGAGCAAACAGAGAAUAUUCAGAGAGAAGAAACAUGGCAUGUUCAGAGAGAGGAAACAGAGGAAAUUCAGCAGUGUGGCAAGGUGUCAAAACUACCAGUUUUCAGGCCUUAAAAAUCAUUUGUGGCUAGUGCAGAUAGUGAUAGUGACAGUGAUUAUGAUGUUCCUCCAACAGAGAGCAACAGUUCCGCAGAUGAUGAUGAGGUAAUUGAGUACAGAAAAUAUGCUCAAGAAUUCAAGGAGAACAAAAGAAAGAAGAUGCUUGGGGAAGAAAAUGGAAAGACUUGCAAUGUGCUAAACAGUUUUAUUGUCCCAGAAACAUGUAAGGAACGGAGGAAGUAGAUGAAAGUGAUGGAGAUGAAACACCAUAUUUUGAGAGUGAUGAUGAUAUGUCCUAUGACGAGGGUAGUGAUGGAGAAGUCAGUGUUGUCCGGAGCCUCUACGUUGUGAAGCCCUGGCACUACUUGAAGCUGUGCAAAUCACUUCAGCGAUGGGAGCUCGCAAUGGAUGCAUUUCUCUGUUUUUAAAAUUUGUAAUGGAAUGAAAGAGAGACGCAAUUUACACUUGUGUAACUGUUCCAGAAGCACAAUUUACUACAUGAUUUGUACUAA